GUCCACGCUGUAAACGAUGAACACUAGAUAUUGGAGGAUUUGACCCCUUCAGUGUCGUAGCUAACGCGUUAAGUGUUCCGCCUGGGAAGUACGGUCGCAAGACUAAAACUCAAAGGAAUUGACGGGGCCCGCACAAGCGGUGGAUUAUGUGGUUUAAUUCGAAGCAACGCGCAGAACCUUACCUAGGCUUGAAAUCCCACGAACCCGGCUUAAACGCUGGGGUGCUCUUCGGAGAAUGUGGUGACAGGCGCUGCAUGGCUGUCGU
rnacentral:rRNA from 1 species